AAUAAGUGUAGUUUUGCACUAUUCAUAUCCAACGUUUGACCAUUUGUCUUAUUUGAAAAAAAAUUAUGAUUAAUAUUUUUAUCGUUAUUAGAUGAUAAAACAUGAAUAGUACUUUAUGCGUGACUACUUUUUUUAAUUUUUUUCACAAAUGUUUUAAAUAAGACGAACGAUCAAACAUUGGACAUGGAUAACCACAGCUGCACUUAUU
rfam:Oryza meridionalis cultivar OR44 (W2112) chromosome 3, whole genome shotgun sequence.